rnacentral:rRNA from 1 species
AACGUAGGACGCGAGCGUUAUCCGGAGUUACUGGGCGUAAAGCGCGGGCAGGCGGUCAUCUAAGUGGGGUGUGAAAGCGCUCGGCUAAACCGGGCGAGGCCAUUCCAAACUGGAUGACUGGAGGGCAGUAGAGGUGGGUAGAAUUCCGGGUGGAGUGGUGAAAUGCGUAGAGAUCCGGAGGAAUACCAGAGGCGAAGGCGGCCCACUGGGCUGCACCUGACGCUGAGCCGCGAAAGCCAGGGGAGCGAACGGG